rnacentral:rRNA from 1 species
GAUGAACGCUGGCGGCGUGCCUAAUACAUGCAGGUCGAGCGAACAGAUGAGGAGCUUGCUCCUCUGACGUUAGCGGCGGACGGGUGAGUAACACGUGGAUAACCUACCUAUAAGACUGGGAUAACUUCGGGAAACCGGAGCUAAUACCGGAUAAUAUAUUGAACCGCAUGGUUCAAUAGUGAAAGACGGUUUUGCUGUCACUUAUAGAUGGAUCCGCGCCGCAUUAGCUAGUUGGUAAGGUAACGGCUUACCAAGGCAACGAUGCGUAGCCGACCUGAGAGGGUGAUCGGCCACACUGGAACUGAGACACGGUCCAGACUCCUACGGGAGGCAGCAGUAGGGAAUCUUCCGCAAUGGGCGAAAGCCUGACGGAGCAACGCCGCGUGAGUGAUGAAGGUCUUCGGAUCGUAAAACUCUGUUAUUAGGGAAGAACAAAUGUGUAAGUAACUAUGCACGUCUUGACGGUACCUAACCAGAAAGCCACGGCUAACUACGUG